AUGGAGUACCUGAAGGAGCAGUAUAUGCUUAAACACGCCACUCUGAUGGUGUUUCACAGUCACUCUAAUGUUUACGUGUCUCCGCUCUCUUUUCUGCAUGCGAAGGUGACUCCCACCAAAACAAGCAAAGAAGCCAAAGCCACUCCAGAUGCUUCAAAAGAGCAGUCACAGAAAGAGACCCCACCAGCACCAUCAACAAAUGUACAGGAAGCACCCAAGGCACCUCCUCCUCCUCCCCCAGCACCACCGAAGAUGGAAAGCAAAGCAGAGCCGGCGGUGAAGAAAGAGGAAACAUCUGCAACAAAAGCAGCAACAGCAGCUGCAACAAAAGCAGAGGGAUCUGCCAAGAGCAAAACUAAAGACAGUGCAUUAAGCAAACUCUUCCGUUCAAAGCCUGUUGUGGUGGAAGAGAAAAAGCCGGUUGAGGUGCAGGUCGACGCGUCUAAGACCAGCACUCUUGAGGCCACAGCCAAACCUGAAGAACCUCCAGCGCCAAAAACAGAGGAGAAGAAAACUGAGAAGAAAUCCACUUUUGGAAAAAUGUUCAAACCCAAGGUAAAGAAGGGAUGCAUGGAGUGCAGGUGUGUGAGUGUAUCAGAUGUGUUAGUGCAUGCAGUAACAGCUGUGUGUGAAUUCGAGGUUCUGCUCGGCCAGGUGAGCAGCAGGAUCCAGGCCGCGGCGUCCAGCGCUGCCGCCAGCAUCUCCCUCAUGUCUGCUGCAGCGGUAAACGCCGCUAGAUCAGGCCCCUUCUGCAUUAACCAGACUCACUGAUUUCACUCUUCUCAAUCUCACAGCUGUUCUCUGACAAGUUCAACUGAGUCAAAACAUAUCUGCAGUAUCACAGCUAUUAACCAACUUAAUAUUUCAGCAGUGUAAUAUGGCCUUUGUUUUCUGAAAAAUUAAUUUUCAAUAAAAAUCCUUCACCCUUACAUUUCUUAUAUUUCAAAUUUUCUUUUAAACUCAAUUUCUUUCUUUUUCUUUUUCUUUUUUUUCUUUUUCUUUCUUUCUUUCUUUCAAAAUUUCAAAACUUUAAAAAUUCAAAACUUCAAACUUACUUUUAAAAAGCCUUCCUUCAUUCAUUCCUUCAUUCAUUCCGUCCUUCCUUUUCUUUCUUUCUUUCUUUUUCUUUCUUUUCUUUCAAAACUUCAAACUUACUUUUAAAUAGCCUUCCUUCAUUCUGUCCUUUCUUUCUUUCUUUCUUUCUUUUUUUCGAGUGGAUUCUGAAGUGGGUUCAUUUAUUUGUUCACUAAUUACUUUAUUUGAUUACUUCUUGGAAUUUUUUUUUUUUUUUUUUUUUUACUUUAAUAUAUUAAUAUAUUUAGUGUGUGUAUGCAUGUGUGUUAGUGUAUGUGUGUGUGUACUACCAUUCAAAAGUUUGGAGACAAAAUGUUAUGUCGUUUUAAAAGAAGUCUCUUACACUCACUAAGGCAUGCAGGCAAUGCAUGCAUUACUUGAUCAAUAUUACAGUAUCAUCUCAUUAAAUGCCAUUCGUUACUCUCAACACAAGGCACCAGAGUCCAAGAAGGAGACUCCAGCUGCUCCUCCCGUGGCAGAAGCUGCUCCACCCGCGAAGGCCAAAGAGGAGCCGAGACCCUCCACUCCUGUAACGCAAGGGGCCCUGGACAACAAAUCAGCCGACAGCACAGAGAACGCCUCCCCCAACAUGCCCCGCAAGCUGGAGAAGAGGAACUCCCUCCAGCUGUUCUUCAAAAACCUGGUUAAGUAGAAACCCAGAGAUUCUCCAGGGCUAGGGAUCCCACCCACACAACCGUGGGAGCAUUCACCAUCUGUGUAGUUAAACUCUUCAGUUGUAUGUAGUUUCCCAGUUUAAUGCUGUCGAGAAACAUUUCGUAAUUCUGUCCAACGUCUAACCAUCCUGAUUAUUUCGAUAUUGCUGGCUAUUAAUCUGAAAACAGUAAUCUAUGAGGUGACAAAAAUCAAGAUUUACAGUGUAUGACCACUAGAUGGCCUCAAUUACCAACCUAUCUAGAUUAUUCGAUCUGUUCCAUAGAAGCUUGUUUGUGUUGCGUUUUAAUAAAGUGGAAUAAAUAUUUAGAAUUAUUUAAUUAAACAGGACACUACAAUUUAGCAAGUAAUUUUCUUUUUAUUGCAUGAAAUCUCAAUCUCAUCAUCUAAACAUGUAAUUCUAAUCUUUGUUGCGAUAUAUAACUUCUUCAUAAAUAAAAAAUAUAUACUUUUUGUCACGUAAUAUAAUUGUAUCUAUCUACAAUUAUCGUUAUUUCAAACGGGAUCAUCCCUGUUAAUGUAUCUCGGACAAAAGUGUGAUGACAGCUAAAUGAUAUCAGAUAAUAAAGCACACAAAUUCACCAAAGCUGCGCUUUGAAGACGUGUUGGAGCAAGAUCCGCUUUUGCAAAUAAAGGCCCAGUUGUCAAACAGGUUUUGCUUCAGGCACCCUUACGGACGAGCAGUAAAAAACACACACUUUCUUACUAAGUUAGGAUCACUAAUGUUGCGUUAUGCGUUGGUGUGUCUCACAGGGCCAAAAACGCCAUUCUGAUGCCGGAGUGCAAACGGACCCUGUGGCACCCGAGAAGGCCAAAUAAAACCCUGCCUUUGUUUUGAUCGCUCAUCUGUGCCAAAACCAUUGGCAGCCAUGCACAUAAGAACAUAUUUACCAAAGUUGGGAGGUAUUAUGCUGAUUUGCAAGGCCAAAGUUUGAAGUAACUAUGAAAUUAUAAUCUGAAUCUCCAUGCAUUUAGUGAGAGCAGAAGUAAGUGUAACGAUCUCCCUGUUAAGCAAGUGCUACGUGUGUUUAUGACCAGAGGGAGGAACUUGUGUUGUUUUUCACAGAGAAACGUGUCAGAGUUGUUUGGUGUGGCAUGAGAUGGAAAAGUGAAAGUGAAAAUGUUAUCCUGCAUUGAAGAUAAACUCCCUUUUUUAUGUGCAUGUUACAAUGUUAACUAUACUAACACUACUCAUAUUGCAUCACGCAUUAAAUCCGCUGCAUUAAGAUGCCUUUUCCCCGGGAUAAAGCAAACAUCAUGUGCGUUUGCAUGUGAAAAGAAUCUAUUUAUGUAAUCAUACACUAUCUGAUUGUGAAAACAUUGACCCGUCGUCUGCUGAUUUCAAUCACUGAAACCUAUAAAGCCAAUUUGAAUUCCACUUGAAUUCCAUGCAAAACUUCUGCAUCACUUUAAUAAAUCCAUAGAAAUCACAAGUAUUUAUUUAACAUAAUGUCAAUCAAAUAGAGCACCAUAUAUUAUUAUUCCAAUUUAUUUGGUUAUUUAAGUUAAGCCCAGUUUCUAUAUAGAAUAAUAAUAAUAAUAAUAAUAAUUGUUUUCAUUUCUAAGAUUGUUUAUUAAACAUAACUUACUAACUAAACCACAUUACAAUUAUUGUCUUUUUAUUUGCUUGGCCGUCCAGUUCUGACCAGAGUAGACUAAAAAGAAAUUAAGCUAGUAAAAUAUUUUCUUUUCUUUCUUAUUUUCUGAAAAUUUUAGUUUUUAUUAGAACAGUAUGAAAUAAAUAUGCGUUAUACAGUUAUGCAAUAUAUAAUGUACAUUCAACUCAGCUGUAAUCACAUGUGUUUUAUGAUUUUCUUCCUAAUUAUCACUACAUUUGUAAAGAAUAGAUGGGCCUAAUUCAGAAUUUAGACAAUAUCCAUGAAUCGUAGACUUUCUGUAUCUCUUUUGUUGCAUUUUUGUCUAUUUAACCAAUUUAUAAAAAUAAAAUAAUUAUUUCUCUCCUCUGUAAAAUGACUCGUUCUGUAUUUACAACAUGAAGACAUUUAAAAUAUAUAGUUUUACGUUUUCCUGGGGGGGGGGGGGGUUUGCUGGUAUAGGUUUCCACAUGGCUAUAUACUGUAUGUAUAUAUAUAUAUAUAUAUAUAUAUAUAUAUAUAAAGAGGGCAUGUGUCAGGACCGCCUACAGGGCAGCAGGGGUGAACUGGCCAUCAGUGUGAUCUGGAGAAUCACAGAAAGGCCGGCCCACCACCCACCAAGCACGCAGUCAUCACCUCAUUCAGACUAUAAGUUGCACAUAAGUAUAAGUCGCAUCAGUCCAAAAAUACGUCAUGACGAGGAAAAAAACAUAUAAAUCGCACUGGAUUGUAAGUCGCAUUUAUUUAGAACCAAGAACCAAGAGAAAACAUUAUCGUCUACAGAGAGGGCGCUCUAUGUCUUCAGUGUAGACUACAGGAACACUGAGCAGCAUAGAGCGUCCUCUCGCGGCUGGAGACGGUAAUGUUUUAUCUUAGUUCAUUUCUCUUAGUUCAUUUCUCUAGGUUCAUGUCAAAUUAAUUUGGAUAAAUAAGUCGCACCUGACUAUAAGUCGCAGGACCUGCCAAAUUAUGAAAAAAAAGUGCAACUUAUAGUCCGGAAAAUACAGUAAGUAUGGAACAUGAGAGGAGAAAGAGUUACUUGCUAGGGAUGAUGUUAGGAAGUGAUAUUCAGGUUGCUACAUUUUUAAUGAUUACAGUAGUUAAAACAGCUAAACUUCAACAUCUUAGCUGUAAAAUGCCACAUGCAGUAGCUAAUAUUAAGAAAUAUUUUGUG
ensembl:lncRNA